rnacentral:lncRNA from 1 species
UUCCUUGUAAUGCGUUUGUGCUCCUUUUUGUCUGGGAUAGCUUUAUCAACCACCAAAGUUUUCUCUGACUUGGAAACUUUAGGCAGAGAAGAUUCCAUCGUAACGGAAUCGUGCCAAGGAAUUUCCUCCUUGGAGCCAUCAAGCAUGUUCAGUGGUUUGAUAUCAUUAUUAACAACACUGAAUGGGGCAGGCACAGCAUGUGCUGACUGAUACAUCACACGAUGCUUAGCCAAAUCUGUAUCGACAUGUCUAUUUACAAUUGAAUUAGAUGGUCCUCUUUCUCUUUGAUUAUACAAGGAAGGAUAGUUUGAACUCCUGAUAUCUUCUGAGGGAUCAUGACGCAGAUUUCCAACCCGCAGAGGAGUAGUGCCAUUAGUGAUGUUGUUUCUGACACUGUUUGUGGUCCUGAGGAAAAAUAACCUCUUGGUUUCAUCAACCCAUUCUUGCACACUACUUUGUACAUUUAAGUUGCCAUACAAUCCAAGCCUGAAAGCACCGGUUUUGCUAACCCCCAUGCCUGAACUAGGAGAAUAAUCUUGCCUGCCAACGAGAACCAUUUGCAAAGUUCAGAAGCACCCAAGAUCCCAAGCAAUGUGAAAUCAUCAAGUAAUAAGGCAAAAGCGCGGCAUUCAGGAUAGUGACAGUAGAACCUAGUUACUCUUUGGCAGAUUACUAUUAUCGGGCAAUUCGUACUUCUGUAGUAAUAAUUGUAUGGCUAUAAGAAGUGGAAUGUGACUACAUAAGGAAUGCUUAGAUCUCUUAAAACAAAAUAAAAAUAUAUAUAAGGAUUAAGGAAUGCUAAUCGACACUAGCUCAAAUGAGGAGACAUAUCCGAAGUCCUACACAGUCUAGAUAAAUCAUCACAUUAGAACAUGCGAAAAAUAUGCAUACACCCAUCCAUUAACCAAAACAUCAUUUACUCCCUCCGUUUCACAAUGUAAGUCAUUCUAGCAUUUCCCACAUUCAUAUUAAUGUUAAUGAAUAUAGACAUAUAUAUUUAUCUAGAUUUAUUAACAUCAAUAUGAACGUGGGAAAUACUAUAAUGACUUACAUUGUGAAACGGAGGAAGUAUUAUUUUUCAUCACGAAUUAGGCACUACGGAACAUCUUAACAACUACUAGCAAAGAAAAAGGCUUAUGCAAUACACACAAAUAAACAGUACGGCUACCUUCCUCCCGCGGCGAAGGCCGGGCGCGACAAGUAGCGGGUGCGGCGGAAGGGAGAGGACAGCCACGGCGGCGGCCGCGGCGAAGACCCCUUCCACCGCCGUAGCUGCCGCGCCGGUGCCGGCGGCAGCGGCGGCGCCACCGCCAUGGACCUCACGAGCCGCCUCAGCUUGGACCCCGCCCGCCUCCCUCCUCCUCCUCCCGCAACGCCACCACCCACCCCGCAACCGAAGCCGCAGGGCGCCGUCUUGCACCGACGCAAGGGUAGGCCGCUGCAGCAGCAGGCGGUGGCCUCGCGGCGGCGGCGGCGGCGGCCGGAGGCGGAAGCGAGGGGAAGGAGAGAGGGUUUGGGAGACAAGGGGGACCAGGGUUUAAGCGGCGGCUGCACCUGCACUACUCGGCUUGGACCCUGGAGGCUUCGGCGGAUUACGCCUCCGUUGAAUGAAGGCGUAGAAGAACCCGUGUCUAACGAACUGAAGGCGUAAAAUCCGUUGCUCACUAUUCGUGUACAAGGCGUAUUUCUGAUUUCGAUGGUUUUAGUUGCUUAAUUAAUGUUAAAUUGAACAUCUUAACAAGGCCGGAUCCGUGGCGCAAUGGUAGCGCGUCUGACUCCAGAUCAGAAGGUUGCGUGUUCGAUUCACGUCGGGUUCAAAAUCCCCGAACCAAGUCCGGAAAUAUUUUUUUUAUUUUUCCAACAAAAUCCUUUUAUCCAUUUAUCCAUUAUAGUUUUCAGUGCUACUUUUAUUUUUUUUAGAAUCUUCAUGAUCAGAGAUUUUUUUAAAGUUCUCCUAACACGAAAGAAACACAGAUUAGAUUCUAAUGUAUACAAGCUUUGGCUUUUCUUACAUCAGUGGUGGUCUCCUAGUGCUCUUAACAACCUUCUCAUUAUAAGAAGAGGGAAGAAGCAAUAGUUUCCCCGUCAACAAGAAGUUGUACCAUCUUCUUCUCCACCAAUAUAUUCAACCAGUAAGGAAGAGUCUUGCCUUUAUUAAGAUGGUCAUAUAUGGGUAGAGAAGAAGAUAUAUACAACUUCUUGUUGAUGAAAAUUGUUGUUGUUUCCAUGUCCUUAUAAAGAGAAGGUUAUCAACAUAAGCAGGCAUUCAAAUGGUGUAAAAAAGACCACAUUAUGUAGGCACUUGAAUGUAACCUUUUACUGUUCUAGCGGUUGAACCUCCUUUUCUCCCAAAGACGUGAGACUACUAAGGGCAUGCCCAACGCAGUGACCCAGGUCGUGGGUUCAAGCUUCAGCUAGGCUCAGAUACCAUGCUUGAGGUUUGUGAGUGGCUAGAGUGCUUUCUGCAAGCCACGAGUAGCCCCGAUGAAAAGGAGGUGGUCCAAAUAAGAAAUAUGGAGAGAGAUAAAGGAGUAUGUGCGAGGAUGGACUGACUAACCAAGGGAUGCCACCACCGUCAACCAGGAAAUGUUACCGCAGUCAACCAGAUCCAGCGAGCGGUUGUUGCAGCCACAGAGGGGGACUUGACCAUGGCCUGAUCUGGUGAACAGUUGUUGCCGCCACGGAGGAGGACUUGGCCAUGGCCUGAUCUAGCAAGUACAUGGCAUCCAUCGGCUUGAGCAGCCCUGCGUCGCCACAAAGCUCAUCAACCCUAGCCACCAACGAUCUAUGCAACGAUGGAGCUCGUCACCCCAAGCCAUGGCCUGGACGUGGUCGACGGUGCCGACUAGGAAUGAGAGGAUAUUAGCGGGAGAGAAAGAGCAAGCAAUGACUGGAGAAGAGUCGUCGAGGUAUCGUUGUCUUUAAUUUGGUCGUUGAUUUGGAUGGGGGAGAAGUGAGGAGGGGGUUAGAGAGAAGGGAGGCGAGGACGAGGUGGGCAGAGGCACGGCGGUGAUGGGCUAGGGGCGCAAAGAUGGGUUUCUACGAGAGAGAGAGAUAAGGACGGGGUGGGGAAGAACGAUCUUUUCAUGGAGAGAGAGAGAGAGAGAGGGGGGGGAGAAAAGUGGGGAAAGUGUUUUUGGUAGUGGCCCCCCAAGUAUCAAUGAUUUAUGAACAAUGGUUUUGAUGGUAGUUCCAACAACUUUUGCCAACGUGAAGGUUGGAACCAUUGGUUGAGACUAUGAUACAUUGCUCAUUCCUAAUAGAACAAAAUGUCAGAUAUGCGGUGUUUAGACUCCUGAGUCAGUAAGGUAAUUAGUGGCUUAAUAAAAAGACGUGGUAAAAAUUUUAGUAGCAUAUAAGGUAUUUACCAAUAAAGAAUUGGGAAUUACUAUUGGACAUUCGCCUACUUUCUCGAUCUAUCACAAGCACAUCCCUUUUUUCCAUUAGAUUCGCACGGAGAUGUGUGGGCUGCCAGAGUUGUCUUGGCAAGCUCGUGAGCAAAAGCCACAACACCAUCUUCUCUGAUGAGUUUCUAAUAAGGAGGACGGACAUGAGGUUCCCUUGGCUUAGAGGGGAUGCCCAUAGUGGACCAAAGGGUGGUGGCUAGGUGGUGGUUUCACAGCGAAUUCAUGGACUCAAGGGUGAGACAGGUGUUAGAGGCAACGGGCAUAAACGAAAACCUAAGCAGCUAGGAGAAAAUGGGAAGCUAUGGUACACAAUGUUUUCCUCUUCCAUGAUAUAUAGAGAAUGUUGACAGAGCACGGAUAGUAGAAGGUCUUGUUGGAGCCGAGAAAUGUCACAUUACCAUUCACUCAAGCCUAUGUUUUCAUUCCAUUGGUUGAACCCUUCUCUUGAAUACGUAUGUACCACUUCUACAAUAAUAAAUAACUUGCUUUAUUUCUUCAUUCACGUGGACCACAACUCAAUUCCUGUUGCUUUGUUGUUAGCAUGAGUACUAACCCUUAUGGGAGCCCAAAAAUAUCAUGUUAAACAUAUGCUUAACUUUUUCUCAAAUGGUUGAAACACGUUGUUUACAUACAUAGGGACCAUUACUAGAAUAAUAAUAAACAACUUAUCUUGUUUCUUAUUCACGGAUCCCAUGGUUCAGCCUUCACUGCUAUUCCUCACCUAGUGCACUGCCACCUAGUUGUAAGGGAUUAUCUUACUACUACUUGAAAAGUAAUUUUAUAACGGAAGAUGCUUUACGUUGUUGGCUUAUACACCAAAUAUGUAACCUAGCCUAGAAUUAGAAAUAAAUGAAAAUAAAUCAAAUAACUUAAAACAGUGGGACAAACCCAGAACAUGCUAUAGAUAGUAAACAAGUGAAGAAGUGUCAAAAGAAAAACAAUAAAUGAGAAAACCCGAAAAACAAUAAAUGAGGAAACCCCUCCUGCUGGAAGAUACCAGCACACACUGUAGAAACACACAGCCCUGCCCCUUCAGUUGUGCUCUUCAGUUCUACAUGUAAAGUCUGCAACUCAGGAUAAACAAAUUCAUCAGCCAAUCUAAGAUAUUGGAGGAAACCAAACUAGAUAAACAGAGUUUCUAGUUUGAUUCCCUCCAAUCCUCACGUUGGGUGACCGAAUGUCAUCAUCUCUCUGAAUUUUGACUGAAUGUCUGCACCUCUCUGAAUUUUUACCAGUAUGUACGUGUAACCAUUCAAUGUGAGAUAUUAGAAGAAACUGAACCAUCCAUCUUUUGUUCCAGAUGGGUGUGAUUCAGUUCCCUCUAAUCCUCACUUUGAAUGACACAAUCGUAUUCUUCGAAAAUCUGUUCUUUAUCUGUAGGCUGUAGCUACAAGUCAAUUUGCUGAAGGUGAGAUAUUGGAGGAAAACAAGCUGAUCAGUGAUCUGCUGGAGUUGUCUGAUCAUCAGUCAGUUUGCUUUCAUCCAACUCUCACUUUCAGUGCUUGACAAACACCUCAAAACUAGCUAGAACAGUACAGCUCAGGAACAACAAAACCAUACAUGUUCAGAUGCUCCACACUAAUAACCCUGCAUUGAACUCUGAAGGAAUUGCUCUGCAGCUAGACCCAAUUUAUAGCCAUCCUGGAAAUAAGUAUAUUCCUCAGAGUUGAGAAGGGCAUUUGUUUCUGUUUCAUCUGUCCUUCACGCCCAAAAUGUGUUAUGUCCUGAAAAAGAACAAUAAGCUGUCAGACUUUGUGCUCUGUACUUUGUACUAGUGAUCCUGUACAUGCAGCUUAUUCAGAUUGUGAGUUACUGGAUGAGACCAUAUCAUCUUUUUCUCUCGGAAGACUGAAAUUCUGGCCUAAGUUUCAGGUUGUGAGGAAUGGAGGUGUCAAGAGUUAACCUCUGUACUAAUUGCACAUUGUCAUACAAGAAUAUGUAUACACUAGCUUUAAUCAGUGGAUCAAAUCACACAGGCACAUCUAGUCGUUCACACAAAUUUGUUAACUUAAGAACUCAAAAUGCAUCUCAAAGCAUGCGAAUGUGACAGGCCUACACAAUUGCUUAACGAAUGACAGCUUCUAGAGAUGAGAAGUUUUUAUUUCCUGUAAAGAUUAGCAAAUUUCCAAAAAAUUGGUUUAAGCACUACAAAUGCAGAGUUUACCGAUAGAAUACUCAUUUAGGUACAUCUCGGCAUAUACAGAACAUAAGAACAUUAGACAUCGUACUUACCAUCCGAUUCCAGAAUAGCAAGGAACAAUGUUCACCUUUAUUUUUUUUAAAUUUCUUGUGGAGGUGGUAAAAAUGUAUCACAAAUUUUGUACAAGCAGCACACAUUUACAAUUUACAGACAUUGUACAAGCCAUGCAGUGACCUAGUAAAACUGCAGCGCCAUCUAUAAAAAGAAUUCAUUGCAUGCAAUUUUUUCUCUUAUACACAUAUGCAAUGCAACGAAUUCUUUUUAUAGAUAAUGCAUAGCAAUUUAUGUAAAACGAAAAUAAAUUAUAUACUUGCAAGUGUAUACGAUAGCCAUUAGACUCAAGUUUCAUAUACACAUAUUGAAAUAACGGAAAGUACAUAUGCAAUGUUGUUUAUUCAUUUUGGUUUUCUUUUUUCUAGUGUAUAGUUGUAUACAAAUUAAGGGCAAAAGGGACAUUUUCUAACAAAAUUGUUGACUAGAAAUAGCCAUAUGGCAUAUUUAGUGAGUCCAAUGAUGAUUUUAAGCCAAAACAAAUACUAAAUACUUAGAACAGCUAUAUGGAUAAAAUGAAACUUACAGGAUCAAACUGAGUCUUUGGUGAAACUUAAGGGACUAAAUUAGUUAUUCACCCAAAGAAAAACCUCAGCAAGAAACGAAUCCACCCAAGAUCCCCCCAAAGAAACCCCCACCACUUGGCACCGCAGAACCCGCCGCCGCCGCCACCGGCUCCCUUGAAGAGGGCGUCCAGCAUGUCCCCCCCGGAUGAAAUUGGCUCUCGAGAGCAAGGCUGCAUCGUGGGGAUUCGAUCUAAAUAGCAGUAGCAGCAUCAGCGGCGACGGCGGGAGGUGGGAGAUGAUGAUGAGGUGGAGGCGGCGUCGCUGCCGGUGUACACGUAGCACCUGCUCCACUUCGGGGAGGGAUCUGGGCCGUAGAUGUGGACACGUGUACGGUGGAUGGGUGGUUUGAGUUUUUUUUUCCUAAAGAAGUUUGCAUCACCGACCGAUGCUCUAAGAGCUGGUAUAAUAGCAGACUAUAAACCAGCUAUAAACACAUGUCAAUGAGAUAAAAGAAGAGAGAAGAGCAGCGGGCUACAGAUUUAUAGCCAGCUACAACACAGAUUCCAAGAUACACGUGUGUAUGAUAAGUGGGACCAGGUAUUAAUUGUGUACUAUAUGUUAUAGGUAACUAUUGUAUGAAUUGGCUAUUAAAUUGACUAUUGGAGCCAAUAGUUGGCAAUACUAUUAAACUUUCUCCAAGUACGUUUUGAUUCCAUGAUUCCCAAAUAGAACUUAGAAGAACAUGGAUUUCGGGAAAGAUCUAAGGCAACUAUUUCAACUUAGCUGCUCCUCGAUUUCUGUUAGCAUGAUUUUUAAACUGUUAAACGGUACAUUUGAAGUAUUAAACGUAGACUAAUGACAAAACAAAUUACAGAUUCCGCCUGUAAACUGCGAGACGAAUUUAUUAAGCCUAAUUAAUCCGUCAUUACCAAAUGUUUACUAUAGCAUCAUAUUGUUAAAUCAUGACGUAAUUAGGCUCAAAAGAUUCGUCUCGCAAUUUAUAUGCAAACUAAGCAAUUGGUUUUUUUUCAUCCAUAUUUAGAUAGUGUUUGAAUCUCCUGAAGAUGAAGAUUAAGUGUUUCACGCAAAACAAGAUGAUAAUAACAUAUGAUUAAUUGAAUUUUAAUUACUACAAACUUGAAAAAUGGAUUAAUCCGACAUUUUAGAGAGCAACUUUCAUAUAGAAAGUUUUCGCACAAAACAUACCGUUUAACAGUUUGAAAAACGUACACGAGUAUCGAAAAUUUCAUCUCCUCCUUGUUAGAGAAACGAACAAGCCCUUAUUGCUUCAUGUAUGUGUCCAAACAUUUGAUGUAACGAAAUUUUUUAAAGUUUGAAGGGAACUAAACACUGCCCAAGUAUCUGAAAGUCUCAUACAGGUCAGUAUCUACUGGGGUCCCUACAGUCAAAUCCAAAUCUAACUAUCAGACAGGCUACUUCUGUACAUUCAGCUACUGCCAGUGAAAGAGUCUUCAGCCUAUUCGGCCCUCGUUGGAUGCUCUGCCUCUGCCACCGAAAAAAUGGACGUGUGAUCUUGUGUUCCUGUGGGUGAUGGGGGUGGCACUUCGAGUGCUUGAGCGGCUUUGCAUCUCUUAUCUAUGCUGGCUCAGUCCGCUGUAUUUCGUCAGGAUGGAUGGGCAGUCUUCAUCGCAUCGGCGACACAUAACUUUGGUGUCGCCUAACUUUGGGGCAGACAAAUGUGUUCAUCUGGCUAUGUAUAGGGCAGAAGAACUGAGUGUGGAUUCUACUUGGCAGCAUACCAGCUCUUCGCGUACUUGGCGUCGACAGCUAGGUCAACCUUGAGGAUGUUGGUUCCAUAGAAAGGCUUGGACAUGCACUCCACAACGAUGGCCUUGGCCUCCUCGGCAGAUUCUGUAGGCCCUUCCAAGAUCACUUCAUCAUGCACCUGGCAGAUGCAGACAUAACAUUUGAGGACAAUGUACAAAUUCAUUCUGGGGAUCAAAAUAAAAUACUCUGAAAGAACACAAAACGUAGCUCUUAAAUAUGAUGUAAAUCUUUGCUUCGCCAAAUUCUUUGAAAGAAAGAAACAAUGGUGGCCCCUUUCGUCUGUGCCUUCAAAUACCAGCCUAAGUACUUCCUUUUGUAAACGUAGGAGUGUUAUUGUCAUAAACCUGCAAUAGGAGUCUCCAACCAAGCUCCUUAAGGCGAGCGUUUCUUUCUAUCUCAAGCAUUGCACACAUAGCAACAUCUGCUGCACUGCCCUAUGUAUCACAAAAGGUAGGAUUUAGACAUCCCAAAAUUGAACAAGAACAACCAUUGUGAUACAACUAAUAGGAAUUACCUGCACUGGUGCAUUUAUAGCAGCACGCUCGACGUGACUCUUUUGACCAGGACCCGCAUGAGUCAUAUUAGGAAAUUGGCGUGAUCGCCCGAGCAAAGUGUAGACUUCGCACUUCUCAAACGCAAGGGCUUUCUGCUUCUUUUGCCAAGCUGAAAUUUCCUUUCUAUCCCUAUGCCAAAGUUUGAGUGUAUCCCUUGCUUCCCUAACUUCAACCUGCCAACACAAUAAGCUACAACUCUGGAACUGAACUGAUUGUAACAAAACAUUUACUGAAUAAUACUCCUAUGUGACAUCAUGUUGUGUACAAAAACAAGAUGAAACCCAACAAGAAAAACUGAACAAGGGAAUAUGAUAAAUGCAUGCACAAGCCUGUACAAAUAGAAGCCCAUACAUUCCAAUCCUGAGAUAGACCAACAGCAGUCUUCCCAUAUGCAAUGGAGAAAUUGAGCAUUUUGGCCUUCCUCCUCUCAGCGCCAAAAGCAUCCUAAAAAAAUAGAAAUAGAAACAUCAAGUUUGGUUUAACUCCAUACCUAUUAGUAUAUAGCCUUAUACCAUUCUACCGGGGGUCCAGAUAUAUAUAAAAAAAUAAAUACAUAUGGAAUAUGUAUGCCAAAUAACAAUUGAUAAAAAGCACUAUAUGCAACUUGCCAACUUCUUCAAAGCAGAAAGAAAACAUGAGGCCCUAACAUAUAUUUGUAUGACAAGUGAGGUUAUCAAAAUUAAAUUCGACACUUUUUUGUGUAAUGAAGUCAUGUUAUCCGACAAAUUAUGUGGAGCACUAGGCACAACUGUCACAGAAUUCACAUGUUCAAAUUUCUUUAAAAAAAAUGCAACAAAGAUAUAUUUCUCAAUAACUAAAAGAAUUAAAAUUUGACUGAAUGAACUACAAAUGAAGGUAAUCAUAUUCCAUCUUAUCACAAUAAGCAAACAGGACCAAAAUCUUACGUAAUUCAAAUGAAAUCAAAUCAAGUACAACUUCGAGAGAUAAGCUGCUGUCAGAAAAAGUUAGUGAUACUCAAGUACCUUCAAUAAUGGCACUGGGGGUUUGUCUUGACCUGGUUGAGGAUGCCAUUCAAGCAGAACUUUCUUUUCUUCAACAGCAUCACGAACAUGCUGGUACAUAUUCAUGGCUGUCCUAGAAUGAAAGUCACCACCAGCCUUGAAAGCUUCCAGCAUGCUUUUACAAUUAGUAAGAUGCGCCAAGAUCCUCAGUUCCAGCUACAUAAAAAAGGAAGACCUUUUAUCAGGUGGAACUGCUAAGUGAAGUAAAAAAAAAAAAAAACUUACUAUUGAGAACCACGAAGCAUACUUGGCCAUAAUCAGCAACAAUAAGAGUGUUCCCUGGAGCUGCGACAAAAGCUUGGCGAAUCUUGUACCUAUCCUUUUCAAGAGCAGGUUGAUUCUGCAAGGAAGAUAACUUAGUUCAAAAAAAAAUAAAAUUUACAUAAACGAUAUAGCACCACUCUAACAAUAAAAACUGAUGCAUUUGUCAGAAGUAAUAACAAAUUUAGCAAGGGUCCAAAUACCCUUGAUGAUGAAGCAUGGUAAUAAUCAAAUAUCCUGAAAUAGCAGACAGCUUAUUGACUAAAUGAAUAAUUCAAAUGUGCGUCCUGAAGCCUGAGGUUGGCUACACAAAAUAAGUUUGCCGGAUGGUGAGCCAUUUCAUCAUUCCUAAUUUAUAUUGCCAAUUUGCCAUGUUUGUUUUUCCUUUCAUUCUCCUAUCCAUUGAUGAAUGAAUAAAAUGAUUAUGGAGUAUCAUACUUCUACAGAGCAUUUUAUUUAUAUUGCAACUGGUGAACGCUGAAGUUUGAAGCUAACAUUAGUUCCUGUGCUUUAUGAAAAAUCGAAAUUGAUAGCAUAUGCAAACUAAAGCAGUCCACAAAGUAUCCCAUCUGUAGCGGUCAGUGGCAAGUUGAUGCAAAUAAGAAUGCAUGCAUAUACUCUGGAAAACACUCAUACAGUGACUCUGUGGAACAGCAGUCUUAUACUGCUUACAUACACAGUGGUAGAACACACUCAAACCAGGCAAAAGUCAGUGAGAAGGAGCCGACACCAAUCUGCAACAUACUUUUGUCUUGAAAGAACAUACAGACCAUUUAUAUAUUUUUCAUCCUUUACUUGACAAUAGCAUGGUGUACCAUCAGCAUGUGCUUAUUGACAACCCAAAUGUGAACUGUGAGGUACUGAUGCAACAUUCCAAAAAAUGCAAAAGAGGCAUACCUGCAAGCUUGGUGUUCUUGCUGACAAGCGUCCUGUUUCAGUAUUGAUAUUUAACGAACAGUGAAUGCGCCCUUCCUUACAUGAUAUAUGAUCUCCCUAUCAUGGAUAAAGAGGAGUCAAGACUCAAAUAGUAGGUGCAACUUAGAAGUUGAGUGCAGUUAGCUGAGACUAUUGGUAUCAUGCACCAAGUAUACACCAUAGUUGUCCCUCACACAAACAACACAAGUUGGAUCAGCACCAAGACUACAGUAGUAGCACCCUUAAGCCUCAAAAUAUAUAAUCAAAACAGACCAAGUGAUCAUUGUUUAACCAAAGUAUUAAAUUACCAAAUUAAGAUAUCAAACAGCACUAAUCGAAAGAACCAAAUUUCAAACUUGAUGGACUGACAAUGCAUUUAACUGAAUUCCAUGCUCUCCCUACAAAAAUUGCAUGAUGACCAAAUCACCACAUUUAUGGUGCAUGCUGAAGCCCCAAAGUUUCAAGAGCGUGAGGUGAAAGAACAUUGGAGCUGUCAGGACUCAGGACACAUAACACCAGCACAAAUUGAUUUGCAUUAUCAUUUAUAAGUACAUGCAAUGAGUGAUGUCUUAAGAAUGGCAACUUCAAUCAGCAUGACUAAGAUCCUGGCUCACCUGCAAUGGAACAAUGAAGCCGGAUAUCAAUUUGUCAAUAGAAAAGACUUCACAUAGAGCAGCAAUGGCAUGACAUGCUUCCCUUCCCUUCUUUCCUCCACCAAACGCUUCAUAUGCAGUUCCAUAUGGGGAAGUGUCUUCUAUAUCCUGCUCAGGAAGUUCCACACUGCUCCCAUCUUCAUCAAACUCUUGGCCAUCAUCAUCAAUUUUAUAUAUAUGAUCUGUGGGUAUUUUACCAGCCAAACUCCAUAAAACGUCCCCACGGACUUUAAGCCAGCCAGUCUUUGUAGUCUUCUUGCCCUCUGUAGUGAAAAGUUUAAGAUCUUCCACAAUAGUGAAAAGUUUGAUUGUGCGAGACUUUGGAAUCUUCUUGCCCUCUGUAGCUAUGCUUUCAUCAUUUGGCACUUUAAAAGCUUUACUUUGUGGCCAAGUUUCACCAGGCUUAUUUCUACGACAAAGAUUGUGAAGCUGACAAGAAUUAUACAUAAGAAAUGCUAAGCAGAUAAAUGUAAAGAAAACAAUCAUUUUUACAGAAAUUACGCACAAGCAAUAACUCACAGUUACUACUUUUUCUUAGAAAUUACAUAAACGAAAUACCUAGAACAAAUAGAAGGCAAAGAUAGAUUCUCUCGUUUUCCCCCUCUUGUUGAUAUGAAGGAUUAUUCAUGUGUUGGACACACAAGAACAACUUGCUAACCAGUUUAAACCAUGCGUACACCAAUGCAUAUAAGAACAGCAAGCAAUUAUUGGUUUUAACACAAACUAAAGCAAAAAUUAAUGAUAUUCUUUUACAGUGGUUCCUAAAUGACAUGCAUUCAAAAAGAUAUCCUGGCAUAAAGUAUAUACGGAUCAAGCAGGCAUACAAAGAGAUCAUACAAGGUGGUGGGAAUACCUAUUUUUGAUGCCACCAAAGAAAAGUUGGCGAAUUUGAUUAUCACUAUUCACAUUCAUGUACUUGGCAUCAGGACAAUGCUUAGAUGCCCAUUUCCGAAACUUAUCCGCUGCUAAUUUUCGUUCAACAACAGCAGUUUUCUCAAUCUCCGAAAGGUAUGCACGGUCAACAAACAUUCCCUCUGUUUCCAUCUUUACAAGAAGAGCACCAAAGGGACGCCAAUACUCUUCGUAGAAAUCAUACAUUGUUCCUCUAGGACAACCAUCGAAAAUCCAUUCCUUUGCUUCAAGCUUGUUUUUCAAGCUUUCAUAAAGCUUCAAUGUACUCAUUGAAUCUAGUGAGGAAUAGCAAAUCCACAACUCUCUAUCCUCCCUUUGUAACUUUUUGACUGGCUCGAUAGAUAUGGUUUUCCCUUCAGAUCCAUUUUUUCUAACAUUUUUCCGACCAAAAAUAGUUUUCAUUGACACCUUCCCAGUUUUAUGUAUGUCCUUUAGAACAGCAUUCAUGAUUCUGUGAUCAUUUGUUAGUCCUUCAAGUGAAUAUCCACCAUCAGCUCUCCUGGAAGAAUCCCACAGGCGUGCAAGAUGCAUUGUAUCAGCAUGAAAUCCAGCAACCUUGAUUCCACAGUUCUCAAUGACAUGGCUAUCAAAACUAUAGUUAUGCCAAACCUACAUGAUGAGGAGAAAGAACAGAUCACUUCGGACAAGCCAGCAAGAAACAAAUAUAAUAAUAAUUGAUGGGUAAUGACCAAUCUGUAGUUUUCUUCCGAAUCGUGCAUUUCAAAGAUAACAGCUUGAAGGCUGAAACAAAUAAUUAGCAUAAUAAUUUCAUACUCCCUCUGGGCUCCAGUCAUGAAAACACGCCGCUUUGGACAUACAUUAAGUUAAACUAUCAGAACUUUGACCAUCAAUAUCUUUCAAAAUAUUUAAUCUUGAUAUAUGAAACUCAUAUGUGUAUAUUUGUCACCAAACUUACUACCCCCUCCAGUCACAAAAAACAUCUCGUCUUGGACAUGUUUGAAGUCAAACUUUAAAAAUGUUGGCAUCGAUAUCUUUUAACUAUUUAGAUUUAGAUUGGAUACAUGAAAAUUGUACUUGUAGAUUUUUCUCAAAAAGUACUUCCACAAUAUUAGAAUUAUAUCGGGUUCCUUUAGCAUUUUGCAAUAGAAAAUAGUUUUCGUGACCAGAAUAUCAUAAUAUUAUAAUUUUAUAGGGUCAUACAAAUAUACUAUAACAGAAAUAAGUUGUCAAAGUUGUAUUUCGGGGACUGUGUCAAUGCCUAAAACAACAUUUUUUUUCUAAGCGAAGUAGUAGGAAAUAUGGGGCUCUGGGGUACGAAGAUGUGAAUCUAAUCAAUCUUUACCUAUUAUAGAAAUUGAAGAUGAUUCUGUACUCAAAAUUUUCGUCCGUCCUCUACUCCGCUACCACAUUGGUCUUUGACUCUGUACACAGCGCAUGUCCUCCUUUUUCAGUACCCUGGAUUGGCCAGGUCUUUUUACCACUGACCCUACCUGGGUCGGCUGGCUGCAUUGACCGAUCAUGAAUUCAUGGCCUACUUAGAUCAGAUGGGUCUACUGUCCCAAGCUAGCCAUGAAGCUCUUCACCUCUCUGGUGAUGGAACAGUUCCCGCGUGAACAGUGGCUGAGGUGAAAUGUUGUUCCCUUGUGAUUUUCAAAAAUAGAUUUUUUUUUUCUCUAUCUCUUCCCUUUCCAUUUUUAUAAAUAUUUUAUUCAUGAUUUUCAGACCUGGUACACCUGUGUGCAGAUUUGACUUUCCAUAGACCUACAUUUAUUUCUAGCCUCACAGAUCUACCCAAAAGGACUAUCCAAUGGAAUUUCAGUUGAUUCAUAGCCAAAUGGGUGCACUUUUGAGAAAAAGAUAAAACAGUGUUCUUUUCUGCAUCAGUUCUGUUAAGAAUAUUUUUAGAACGCGCAGGAGAUCUGCGUACAUUUCAUUACGAUAGAGGAAAAAAGGUGGACGGUGUUAGAGAUAAACUCCGACACCCACCCACCCGGAAGUACAACACCAACACCACACGUCCACAAGAAGCAAAACAAACCUAGUGACCUAGCACUGCAGCCCUAGACUGGAACCUUCUCCAUUUUGUUCUAGCUCUGCUCUAGCUCACUGGCGCCACUGUGCUUGUCACCGGCGACAGCAAAAGCACAGGUUAGUCAUCCAAAUCUAAGGGCAUGUUCAGAUUGUAGCCAAAAUAAACCUUACUAAAUUUUGGCAAUGCCAAAAUUUUGGCAGGAUUUCUUUUGUAUUUAUCAAAUUUGGCAACAAACUAAACGUAGACAUUUUUUGGCAACUUUGUCAAAAAAUGGUAUGGUUGAAAAUGGCAUCAAUCUGAACAGCCCCUAAGUGGUUAUUCACCAACACGCUACAUAACAUCUAUCUACCAAAUUGUCCAUUAUAGAAUCAACCACGCGUGCAGCCGCUUCAUCGUGGAGGAGCUCGUGGGCUUCGGCGCAACAAUGCACGCCUGCACCAAUUGACGCGGAGCUGAGUAUAUACCAUGAGGAGUGGAUGAUCAAAAGCCUCACUAUCAUCGUCUCCGUCUGCAACGUGUUGGUGCGCACCGACAAAGAGGAGAUUGCCGGCAAGGUACGUACUUUGUUCGACGGCAAGGUCAACAUUCUUGUAAGUCCAUAAUUCUGCUACCAUAAUUUCGAGCAACAUAACACUAAUGAGUCACAUGUCACAUCAAUCCUUCUACACGAUGUCAAUCAAACGAUGCCAAUGUCAAUCUACCAUGUGUCUUUCAGCUCUUCCCUUAGUGGUAGUCCAAGUCCUCACUAUUGACUAAGAUUUAUUCCAAGCUUCCUACAAAUCAAUAGACUACCAUACCAAGAUUUCUUAUGACCUGACUCAUGUUAGUCGACGCAAGCACACGCGCUAUUGCACGAAAGAAAUACACUCCAUAACUUCAAAACUAAACACCAUCAUCGUGUUAGAAAUGAUGCCAUUUUUUUGUUACAAUUAUAUUCAUCGAUCAUACCCACAUGAUUUCAUAGUUCAUUAGGUGAUGGACCUGUAGCUACAGCCUAGGAUAAACAGUUAAUUUUGUUCAGUUAUUUGCAAGUUGCCUUCACUCAUUGGAACGCAGGGGCAUUUUUUCUAGUCAAGGAAAAAUAUAAAGACAGUAUGUCAGAGCACAGAAGGGUCUGUCUAAAACAGCAAUCUUAAGGUAGUCCAUUUACAUUAUCACUCUAGGAUAGGGUUUUAGCAGGUAACCAGGUAGAAUUUUUCUUUCUUUUUUUUUUUUGUUAUAACCCCACAACUAUAUGGUGCUGACAAUCAGGUGAAAUGCAUAACUAUAAAAUAGUGAACUAUAUCUAGUUAUUUUCAGUGUUGAAGUAUAAGUUUACGAGUGAUAGGAAAUUGUGUUUAGUGCAGUUUGCUGCCAAACUAAGGCCUAAUCUAAAAGGAGUAAUGUAAUUACAGUAGUAAUAGAAGAGGAAAAAAGAACUAUUGCACUAAUAUAUUUCAUCCAACACAUAAAGGGAGAAGAUAACCACAAUAAAUUUACUCCAAGAUAAAUAACUUAUAAAAUGAGGAAUCGAAGUGAACCUUUUUGAUAGAUGGGUCCUCAAAGAAAGGAGCAAACUCCAUUAGAACAUCCCUUCCACCAUCUAGCACAUCCACCCAUAUGCAUGUUUUGCCAUUUCCAAAAUCAGCCUCCCCAUCAGAAUUUCCUGAAUAGAUGCUAAAGCAUAUUACUUCUCCAUGACCAACUGGCGUCUCUUCUUUGACAUCAAUAUUUGCCACCUGCAUAAUAUUGUACUAUCCUAAAUUAGAAUGUAUGUUUGGAGCUUGAUAUGCAAUAAAACUGUAAAUAAUUCUGAGCAAAGCUUGCUACCACAGAAGUAGACUAUGAGCAUGUCAAACCAUGUAACUAGAAGAAACCAAUAAUUAGCAUUAGCAUUUAAUAUUUUACAUUCUUCAUGACAUCUCCUGUAAACUCUGCAACUUACAUUUUCAGAGAAGAUACAUAGGGGAAAAAAGGCACAAUCUAACAACAAACACUUGAGGUCAGCAAUAUUGAUGACCAAACAAGAUACUAUAGUAUCACCUAUCAGAAAUAUACUUCUUAUUGAUACUCUCACAAUUAUGAGGCAAAACCUAAAUAACAUAGCCAAAACUGAUAUACCGAUGAUAGAACUCAAGCAGGGUUUGGUGAAAUACCUCCGUGUCACAUGCAUGAAUAAAGCCUUUGUACUUUGUAGUAAGCAAUUUAACAACACUCCUAGCUGACUCAACAUUGUCGACAACCAAAACUUUGUCAUAGAUGGUAGCAAGCAACUUCCGUGCAUUUUUUGACUCAGUGGACAAGGAAGCUUUGUCCGGGAUAUUUAGCGUCACUUUCCUUGUAAUGCGUUUGUGCUCCUUUUUGUUUGGGAUAGCUUUAUCAACCACCAAAGUUGUCUCUGACUUGGAAACUUUAGGCAGAGAAGAUUCCACCGUAACGGAAUCGUGCCAAGGAAUUUCCUCCUUGGAGCCAUCAAGCAGGUUCAGUGGUUUGAUAUCAUUAUUAGCAACACUGAAUGGGGCAGGCACAGCAUGUGCUGACUGAUACAUCACACGAUGCUUAGCCAAAUCUGUAUCGACAUGUCUAUUUACAAUUGAAUUAGAUGGCCCUCUUUCUCUUUGAUU